GACGAACGCUGGCGGCGUGCUUAACACAUGCAAGUCGAACGAAGUGGCGAACGGGUGAGUAACGCGUAAUCAACCUGCCCUUGAGAGGGGGACAACAGUUGGAAACGACUGCUAAUACCGCAUACUUAAGGAGGGGAUUGCGUCUGAUUCGCUCGUUGGAGGGGUAACGGCCCACCAAGGCGAUGAUCAGUAGCCGGGCCGGGAGGAUGAACGGCCACAUUGGGACUGAGACACGGGCCAGACUCCUACGGGAGGCAGCAGUGGGGAAACUUCGGCAAUGGAGGAAAGUCGGACGGAGCAACGCCGCGUGAGGGAUGACGGCCUUCGGGUUGUAAAGCUCUGUUAAUCGGGACGCGGUACCGGAAGAGAAAGCCACGGCUAACUACGUGCCAGCAGCCGCGGUAAUUC
rnacentral:rRNA from 1 species